CAGCCGCCGCGGGAAUACGUAGGGUGCAAGCGUUAAUCGGAAUUACUGGGCGUAAAGCGUGCGCAGGCGGUUGUGUAAGUCUGAUGUGAAAGCCCCGGGCUCAACCUGGGAACUGCAUUGGAGACUGCACGGCUAGAGUGCGUCAGAGGGGGGUAGAAUUCCGCGUGUAGCAGUGAAAUGCGUAGAGAUGCGGAGGAAUACCGAUGGCGAAGGCAGCCCCCUGGGAUGACACUGACGCUCAUGCACGAAAGCGUGGGGAGCAAACAGGAUUAGAUACCCCCGUAGUCCCUGUCUCUUAUAA
rnacentral:rRNA from 1 species